ensembl:lncRNA
CAGCCUCUUGCCUGGUCUCCCAGGUUAGCCAAUUCGUGGGGCAAAGGCUGAGCUGCCCCCUUUGAACACACCUGGCUCCUUGGGGACGGGAGUGGCCCUGCAGGUCAACAGUCACCAGCUAGUAGGUCUAGUUCAAUGUUGCUAACUCCCGAGGCUGCGCAUCCAAGAGCGUCGGCUGCUCCUUAGAGGAGGAGUUCACGUGUCCAGCAUGCUGGAUGAAAACUGAAGAUCAAGACUUUCACAAAGGAAAGGGGUGAGGGCAGAGGAGUGGGUGGAAGGAGAGGGUAUGCCAGGCAGAGGCGCUGGCCCAAGGCAGAGAGGAGAGAAUGGGUAACAGCACACGCCAGCAUCCACAUGGAGGAUAUGGAGCUUUAUCAGAAGGACUCUGGAGAGCCAUGCGUGGGAAAAUGACAUAAUACGUGCAUUUACUGGGAUUUUCCAAGGAAGCAGUGGAGGAUAGAACGGUGGAGGCACGAAGACCACUCAGGUUGAUAUCUGUCAUCCUGGGGCAAAUGGUAUGGGCUGACCAAGCUGGUGGCAGAAAGGACAAUGGGAAGGGAAGGAAUUCAAGGAUUAUUCCCUGUAGCCCAGAUGGUAAAGAACCUGCCUGCAAUGCAGGAGACCCGGUUUGAUCCCCGGGUUGGGAAAAUCCUCCGGAGAAGAAAUUGGCAAUCCAAUCCAAUACUCUUGCCUGGAAAAUCCCAUGGGCAGAGGAGCCUGACGGGCUACAGUCUUUGGGGCCACAGAGAGUCUGACAUGACUGAGCAACUAACACUACUAACACUAAGUUACCAGGUACUGGUCGGAGAAGGCAAUGGCACCCCACUCCAGUACUCUUGCCUGGAAAAUCCCAUGGACGGAGGAACCUGGUGGGCCGCCGUCUAUGGGGUCGUGGAGAGUCGGACACGACUGAGCGACUUGACUUGCACUUUUCGCUUUCAUGUACUGGAGAAGGAAAUGGCAACCCACUUCAGUGUUCUUGCCUGGAGAAUCCCAGGGACGGUGGAGCCUGGUGGGCUGCCAUCUAUAGGGUCGCACAGAGUCGGACACGACUGAAGCGACUUAGCAGCAGCAGAAGCAGCAGGUACUGGUCAUUGUACUAAGUGCUUUAUAUAUGUUAAAAUCCUUACUUAAUCCUCACCACAACCCUACAAGGUAGAUAUUGUUAUAUUCAUUUUAAAGAUGAAGAAACGGAGGCACAGAGAGGUCAAAUACCUUGCCCAUGAUGACAGAACUAGUAAGAGGUAGACUUGGAAUCUGAACCUGAGAGGUUUGACUCCAGGAACUCUGAUUUUUGAAGAAGUGCUUAUUUCUAGCUUUAAAAUAAAUUCAAGUUUUAAAAAAUGGAUUAAAAAAAUAGUAAAUAACAGAAUAGCUAUCACAAAGUUGUGGAGGAGGGACAUGACUGACCGACACUUGGGCAACAGUGCCCUGUCUGGGUGGUUAUGCUAAGGGAGAAAUGCAUGGCAGUGGACUGUACAUAGUCUGCACAUAUCCUGAGACUACAGAACAAAAGGAGCCAUCCAGAUCAUGCUGUCCCCUGCCUAGGGGGAGACUCAAUUAUGUCCUUUCAAUUCUGGGCCAUUAUCCUAGGGACCAACAACAGCAACCACAAAUAUGAUAUUAACUAUUAACUGUCGAAAAUGUUAUUUGCUAUUGGUGGGGGUUAGAUUCUUUAAUAAUGUCCUGAAAGAUUCAC